rnacentral:tRNA from 1 species
GCGCCUGUAGCUCAGUCGGACAGAGCAACAGCCUUCUAAGCUGUGGGCCGCAGGUUCGAUUCCUGCCAGGCGCA